rnacentral:rRNA from 1 species
UACGUAGGGUGCAAGCGUUAAUCGGAAUUACUGGGCGUAAAGCGUGCGCAGGCGGUUUUGUAAGUCUGACGUGAAAUCCCCGGGCUUAACCUGGGAAUUGCGUUGGAGACUGCAAGGCUAGAAUCUGGCAGAGGGGGGUAGAAUUCCACGUGUAGCAGUGAAAUGCGUAGAGAUGUGGAGGAACACCGAUGGCGAAGGCAGCCCCCUGGGUCAAGAUUGGCGCUCAUGCACGAAAGCGUGGGGAGCAAACAGG